GCCACUAUAGCUCAGCUGGUAGAGCGGCUGACUUGUAAUCAGCAGGCCGGGAGUUCAAAUCUCCCUAGUGGCU
rnacentral:tRNA from 1 species